rnacentral:rRNA from 1 species
CCUACGGGAGGCAGCAGUGGGGAAUAUUGCGCAAUGGGCGAAAGCCUGACGCAGCGACGCCGCGUGAGGGAUGAAGGUCUUCGGAUCGUAAACCUCUGUCAGCAGGGACGAACGGUCACUGUGCUAAUCAGCAGUGAAUUGACGGUACCUGCAAAGGAAGCACCGGCUAACUCCGUGCCAGCAGCCGCGGUAAUACGGAGGGUGCGAGCGUUAAUCGGAAUUACUGGGCGUAAAGCGCUCGUAGGCGGUAUGUCAAGUCAAGGGUGAAAUCCCCGCGCUCAACGUGGGAACUGCAUUUGAAACUGGCAAACUGGAGUGUGUGAGAGGAUAGUGGAAUUCCAGGUGUAGGAGUGAAAUGCGUAGAUAUCUGGAGGAACAUCAGUGGCGAAGGCGACUAUCUGGCACAUAACUGACGCUGAGGAGCGAAAGCGUGGGGAGCAAACAGGAUUAGAUACCCUUGUAGUC